UUGCCUGUAGCUCAGAUGAUAGACUAACCGCCUUCUAAGCAGUUAGUCGCUAGUUCGAACCCAGCCAUGCGAGC
rnacentral:tRNA from 1 species